rnacentral:rRNA from 1 species
AUUGACCUCGGAUCAGGUAGGGAUACCCGCUGAACUUAAGCAUAUCAAUAGCGGGAGGAA